UAUGGUGAACCUGCGGAAGGAUCAUUA
rnacentral:rRNA from 1 species